rnacentral:tRNA from 1 species
GGGAGUGUGGCUCAAUGGUUAAAGUGCUUGCCUACCAUGCACAGUAUCCUGGGUUUGAUUCCCAGCACUUCAA